AGGCCGUAUACCCAAGAGUUCCAGGGGAAUGGUCGUCCACACUGGGGUAGUCGGUUCCUAAGCAUCGGCCGAAUAGCUGAGUGGAUGGACAACAGGUUGAGAUCCCUGUACUGUCGAUAACCGUUUUCGAGAAGGGGUGACACAGGAGUAUGAGCUAAUCAAACGGUUGGUUAUGUGUGCCCGAGCAGUGAGUCAGGCAAGGUAUGCAAUUCCGCUUUGAUGAUGCUGGGACGUGAUAGGUAUCGAAAUUUAGUAGCGAAGUAGCUGAUUUCACACUGUCAAGACCAGUCUCUAUCGAGGUUAAAGGUACCCGUACCGCAAACCGAC
rnacentral:rRNA from 1 species